UCUGGGUCGUUGAAAAAGAGCUGGUCGAUCUUUGUCCCAUUUCCAUCCUCCAUUGUCCUCUUAAUGUACUUGGUGUUGAACUCUUUCAAUCUUCCCUCCAUUUCUUCCAUAUCUUCACACUGCAUGGUUUACUGUUUUUUUUUUUAAAAAAA